rnacentral:tRNA from 1 species
AAAUAAGAAGCAAAAAUUGCAUUUAGUUUCGACCUAAAAAUAUGAUUAACAAUUAAUCCUUAUUUU